GGCUCACUCACUCAGUCACUCACACGUCUACCCGCUGGGCUGGGGCUGAAACAGCUGACGCUCCUUGGGCAUCUCUCUCUCUCUGGAAACUGUGUGAUUUCUCCAGCAUGUGGGCUUCAGGGCAGCCAGCAUAGACUUUAUGGCUCUCAAGUUUCUCCUCAGAAACAGUGCCCAAUCAUCAUCUAUACGAAUCCAUGACAGGAUGAAAUGAGUUCAUAUGGAUCUGGGUGGCUCAAAGGAUGGACGAUAGCAGGUGCUACGGAGUCCUCUGUACUCUCUGUGAUUUUCCUGUGUCUAAGGACAGUAGAUGGCAUAAGCAGAUAAAAGUGACCUUGUAGGUCAAUCAAAGUUGGAAGCAACAAGAGUUCCUAACAAGUCUGCGUGGAAUGGACGGGAUCAUUAAGCAGUAAUGUUGGAUUUCAUCACGUCAUUCACAGUAUACAGACAGGGAGAGAGACUUCCAGUU